CUCAGGAUUGGCCGGAC
rnacentral:misc_RNA from 1 species